rnacentral:rRNA from 1 species
CGGCGUGCUUAACACAUGCAAGUCGAACGAGAAAGGGAUUGCUUGCAAUCCUGAGUAGAGUGGCGCACGGGUGAGUAACACGUAGAUAAUCUACCUUCAAGGCUGGGAUAACUAUUCGAAAGGAUAGCUAAUACCGGAUAAAGUUUGUUAACAUAAGUUAAUGUAUGAAAGAUUGCCUCUUCUUGAAAGCAAUUGAUUGGAGAUGAGUUUGCGGACCAUUAGUUUGUUGGUGGGGUAAAGGCCUACCAAGACUACGAUGGUUAGCUGGUCUGAGAGGAUGAUCAGCCACACUGGAACUGGUACACGGUCCAGACUCCUACGGGAGGCAGCAGUGAGGAAUUUUGCGCAAUGGGGGAAACCCUGACGCAGCAACGCCGCGUGAGUGAAGAAGGCCUUUGGGUCGUAAAGCUCUGUCGACAGGGAAGAAGUUACAAUUAUCCAAUAGGUAGUUGUAUUGACGGUACCUGUAGAGGAAGCACCGGCUAACUCCGUGCCAGCAGCCGCGGUAAUACGGGGGGUGCAAGCGUUAUUCGGAAUUAUUGGGCGUAAAGGGCGCGUAGGCGGCCUUGUCGGUCAGAUGUGAAAGCCCAGGGCUCAACCCUGGACGUGCAUUUGAAACAGCAAGGCUUGAGUACGGGAGAGGAGAGCGGAAUUCCUGGUGUAGAGGUGAAAUUCGUAGAUAUCAGGAGGAACACCGAUGGCGAAGGCAGCUCUCUGGACCGAUACUGACGCUGAGGCGCGAAAGGCGUGGGUAGCGAACAGGAUUAGAUACCCUGGUAGUCCACGCAGUAAACGAUGUUCACUAGGUGUGGCGGAUAUUAAAAUCUGCUGUGCCCAAGCUAACGCAUUAAGUGUACCGCCUGGGG